rnacentral:rRNA from 1 species
AACGAACGCUGGCGGCAUGCCUAACACAUGCAGGUCGAACGAGACCUUCGGGUCUAGUGGCGCACGGGUGCGUAACGCGUGGGAACCUGCCCUUAGGUUCGGAAUAACUCCCCGAAAGGGGUGCUAAUACCGGAUAAUGUCUUCGGAUCAAAGAUUUAUCGCCUUUGGAUGGGCCCGCGUUGGAUUAGCUAGUUGGUAGGGUAAAAGCCUACCAAGGCGACGAUCCAUAGCUGGUCUGAGAGGAUGAUCAGCCACACUGGGACUGAGACACGGCCCAGACUCCUACGGGAGGCAGCAGUGGGGAAUAUUGGACAAUGGGCGAAAGCCUGAUCCAGCAAUGCCGCGUGAGUGAUGAAGGCCUUAGGGUUGUAAAGCUCUUUUACCCGGGAUGAUAAUGACAGUACCGGGAGAAUAAGCUCCGGCUAACUCCGUGC